AUACGGAGGAUCCGAGCGUUAUCCGGAUUUAUUGGGUUUAAAGGGAGCGUAGGUGGAUUGUUAAGUCAGUUGUGAAAGUUUGCGGCUCAACCGUAAAAUUGCAGUUGAAACUGGCAGUCUUGAGUACAGUAGAGGUGGGCGGAAUUCGUGGUGUAGCGGUGAAAUGCUUAGAUAUCACGAAGAACUCCGAUUGCGAAGGCAGCUCACUAGACUGUUACUGACACUGAUGCUCGAAAGUGUGGGUAUCAAACAGGAUUAGAUACCCUGGUAGUCCACACAGUAAACGAUGAAUACUCGCUGUUUGCGAUAUACAGUAAGCGGCCAAGCGAAAGCAUUAAGUAUUCCACCUGGGGAGUACGCCGGCAACGGUGAAACUCAAAUGAAUUGACGGGU
rnacentral:rRNA from 1 species